AUGUGAAGCACAUAGCAGCAGAAACUGUAAUGCCACAGAUCAGAGAAACUUCAUCAUCACCAUCUUCAUCGCCAUACGAUCAGAGCGUGAGACUUCACAUCUGGAGCACAGGAGAGAUUCUGUGAUAAGUCCUCCUUCUAGCUUGUCCCACAAGCAGUCGAGCUGAGACACUCAGGACUGAACAGACUGCACAGUUUCUGUGACUGAGCCUCCAAAACACCUUCUUUGAAACCACCAUGAUAGAAGGGCUUCAUAUUUGCAGCAGCACUACUACAGGUAUUCAGUUUAUUACAGGAUGUGUUUGUUUCUUAGGACCAGCUCUGAGUGCACACUACCUAACAUAUACACCUUUCUGUUCAUUACAAACCAACUACUCUGGAUCAUAUGGCCAGUUGGCAGGAAUGUUGCUGCAGGAAAACAUCCCUGGAGAUCACCAUCAUUGUCAGACUGACUGUGCCUCCUCUGUGCAGUGUCAAGAUCCUCCCUAAAUGAGUGUUCCUCAGCUAUCCUGCUUCUGUGCUGCUUGCCACACAUCAAACACUGGCCGGAUGACAGGGAGGAUCCACUCUGAAGUCACUGGACAUGAUGAGGAUCAUAUGGGACUUAUAGUUUCACAGAAACGAUGUGCUCUGUGAUUACAGGUUUUAAAUGGACAUAAUGACUGCCUCUCUCUGAUCAACAGGCUAAAGGAUUGUUGUCAUUGUUAGUGCUCUGUACAAUGUAUGCUUAUUUAGUAUUUCAUCACAGAGCAAACCUUUAUUUAUUUAACAUAUUUUUAUUUUGUUUUAAUGUUGAAUUAACUGUGGGGAUUUUUUUUAAGUGGGCACUCGGGAUGUCAUAUGACCAGAAAUGUGGUAACUGG